rnacentral:tRNA from 1 species
CCUUCGAUAGCUCAGUUGGUAGAGCGGAGGACUGUAGAUCCUUAGGUCGCUGGUUCAACUCCGGCUCGAAGGGA